CGGUAAUUCCAGCUCCAAUAGCGUAUACUAAAGUUGUUGCAGUUAAAAAGCUCGUAGUUGGAUUUCUGCGGGGACGGAGCGGCCGGACGCAACUUGCGUCUCGAGCUAGCGCUUUCCCCGCAUCCUGCCGCGAACCGUGCUACCAUUAGUUUGGUGGCGCCGGGGAUCGGCUCGAUUACUUUGAGAAAAAUAGAGUGUUCAAAGCAGGCCACACGCCUUGAAUAAGUUAGCAUGGAAUAAUGACUAAGGACUUUGGUUCUUUUCGUUGGUGUUCGGGACUGAAGUAAUGAUUGAUAGGGACAGUUGGGGCGGUCCGUAUUCCAAAGCGAGAGGUGAAAUUCUUAGACCUUCGGAAGACGAACAGCUGCGAAAGCGUUCCGCAAGGAUGUUCCCUUUGAUCAAGAACGAAAGUUGGGGGAUCGAAGACGAUCAGAUACCGUCGUAGUCUCAACUAUAAACUAUACCAGCUAGGGAUCGGCCAACGUUUAACUUUAUCGACUUGGUCGGCACCUUAUGAGAAAUCAAAGCAUCUGGGUUCCGGGGGGAGUAUGGUCGCAAGGCUGAAACUUAAAGGAAUUGACGGAGGGGCACCACCAGCCGUGGAGCCUGUGGCUUAAUUUGACUCAACACGGGAAAACUUACCAGGUCCAGACAUAGGAAGGAUUGACAGAUUGAUAGCUCUUUCUUGAUUCUGUGGGUGGUGGUGCAUGGCCGUUUUUAGUCGGUGGAUGUGAUCUGUCUGCUUAAUUGCGUUAACGGACGAGACCCCAGCCUGCUAAAUAGCGCGGCCGAGCUUUGCUCGGUGCGAGCUUCUUAGAGGGACCAUGAUGCGCGAUAGCACAAGGAAGUUUGGGGCAACGACAGGUCUGUGAUGCCCUUAGAUGUUCUGGGCCGCACACGGGCUACACUGGCGCCUGCAACGAGCAUAUCAGCUGGCCCGAGAGGGUCUUGGCUAAUCUUUGGAACCGGCGCCGUGCUUGGGAUUGACCAUUGCAAUUGUUGGUCAUGCAACGAGGAAUGCCUUGUAAACGCGAGUCAUCAGCUCGCAUUGAAUACGUCCCUGCCCCUUGUACACACCGCCC
rnacentral:rRNA from 1 species